UAAAGAGAGAGUCAUGAUCAGUUCAAAUCCCUGCCGGAAAUUAAUGACGAAACUUGCAAAGAAUGGCAAUUUAACAGACCAACAGUUUAGAGAAUGAAUUCAACUUCUCACAAAAGUGUCCCUUUCUGUCGUACCCUUUAUAAACUGGCUCAAAGAUACUUACGAACACUUAUCCGAUUGUCCGCCGCCGAUUAAGGCUUUAAUUCAUUCUAUCGCUGCAAGUUCUCCUGUGUGUGGGUUGAUUAAACCAACUGAAGAACUUCAUUCCCUUUUCAGAGAACUCAUCAGCGGAGAAAAUGUAUUUAGUUGUCCGGCUAAACUGACGCUUCUUCAUGAGCAAUACCCGGUUAUCUUUGCUGUUCUUCGUGAACUUAGGCCAACAGUUUUACCACGAAUGUGGCGUCCGAUGUUUGCGGAAUUUUUGAUGAAGUCAAAAGCGCCAUUUGUAAACACCACCGGCACCACGGCUCCGUCUAUUUCAGCACCAAUAGAGGAUUCGGAAACCGACGCCUUGUGUUUCUUCCCAACUUUACCGAAACGUCGAAAUCGUAAAUUUUACUUGGCUGACGCUGCACGUCGUACAGAUGAAAUUUGUUCCAAAAAACAUCCCGGACAUUCUUUUUUUCUUCCAGGCAUAUUCACACUGUUUUGCCCACAUGGUUUUAACUAUGGCUACCAAGUCAUGCAGAGACGGGAAUCUCCAAACGUACCAUUUUUCUAACAAGUUUUGUAACAGCACCUCGAGUUAUAAUAUAUGACAAUGCAUGUAAUCUGCAUAGCUACUGCCUCAACAGAGAUCCUGCGUACUUCAAGGACACAACUUUUUUGGUUGACCGGUUUCAUUGGGGAAACCAUAAAGGUUGUUCUGGUGGCUAUAACCUUAAUAUAUACCCCCAACUGACAGUCAUUAAUAGUCAAGUGAACGAACAAGCAAAUUCAAUCAUUCAAAGAUAUCGUGCCCAGUUGUCUUUCAUGACCCAAGA